GUCUACCAUGCAGUCGACGGUAGCACAGAGGAGCUUGCUCCUUGGGUGACGAGUGGCGGACGGGUGGGUAAUGUCUGGGAAACUGCCCGAUGGAGGGGGAUAACUACUGGAAACGGUAGCUAAUACCGCAUAACGUCUUCGGACCAAAGUGGGGGACCUUCGGGCCUCACACCAUCGGAUGUGCCCAGAUGGGAUUAGCUAGUAGGUGGGGUAAUGGCUCACCUAGGCGACGAUCCCUAGCUGGUCUGAGAGGAUGACCAGCCACACUGGAACUGAGACACGGUCCAGACUCCUACGGGAGGCAGCAGUGGGGAAUAUUGCACAAUGGGCGCAAGCCUGAUGCAGCCAUGCCGCGUGUAUGAAGAAGGCCUUCGGGUUGUAAAGUACUUUCAGCGGGGAGGAAGGCGUUAAGGUUAAUAACCUUGGCGAUUGACGUUACCCGCAGAAGAAGCACCGGCUAACUCCGUGCCAGCAGCCGCGGUAAUACGGAGGGUGCAAGCGUUAAUCGGAAUUACUGGGCGUAAAGCGCACGCAGGCGGUCUGUCAAGUCGGAUGUGAAAUCCCCGGGCUUAACCUGGGAACUGCAUUCGAAACUGGCAGGCUAGAGUCUUGUAGAGGGGGGUAGAAUUCCAGGUGUAGCGGUGAAAUGCGUAGAGAUCUGGAGGAAUACCGGUGGCGACGCGGCCCCCUGGACAAAGACUGACGCUCACGUGCGAAAGCGUGGGGAGCAAACAGGAUUAGAUA
rnacentral:rRNA from 1 species